GUGGGGAAUUUUGGACAAUGGGGGCAACCCUGAUCCAGCCAUGCCGCGUGCGGGAAGAAGGCCUUCGGGUUGUAAACCGCUUUUGUCAGGGAAGAAAUCCUUUGGGUUAAUACCUCGGAGGGAUGACGGUACCUGAAGAAUAAGCACCGGCUAACUACGUGCCAGCAGCCGCGGUAAUACGUAGGGUGCGAGCGUUAAUCGGAAUUACUGGGCGUAAAGCGUGAGCAGGCGGUUUUGUAAGAUCGAUGUGAAAUCCCCGGGCUCAACCUGGGAACUGCAUUGGUGACUGCAAGGCUGGAGUGCGGCAGAGGGGGAUGGAAUUCCGCGUGUAGCAGUGAAAUGCGUAGAUAUGCGGAGGAACACCGAUGGCGAAGGCAAUCCCCUGGGCCUGCACUGACGCUCAUGCACGAAAGCGUGGGGAGCAAACAGGAUUAGAUACCCGUGUAGUCC
rnacentral:rRNA from 1 species